rnacentral:rRNA from 1 species
CAAUGGCAUAUACAAAGAGAAGCGAACUCGCGAGAGCAAGCGGACCUCAUAAAGUAUGUCGUAGUCCGGAUUGGAGUCUGCAACUCGACUCCAUGAAGUCGGAAUCGCUAGUAAUCGUAGAUCAGAAUGCCUACGGUCGAAUACGUUCCGGGCCUU